CCAAGCUCCAGCUACAAAGGAGCAGGGCUCUGGGGCAUCCCGCCUCUGAGAGCCAGGGGCAGCCCGAGCGCUGGGUCUGGGGCAGCUCCAGCCAGUGGCCCCAGGAAGUGCGAACCUGGCUUUCUAGUGCUGCCUCCACCUUCUGUUUGGUUGUUGGGGAAAUUGAUCUUUCAGGGCUCAGUCCAAGGGUCUGGACGAAAGGCAGACAGCACACUGCUUGGACCCCUCUCUCCCUGGUUUCUCUGGCUGUCCCAGGCACCUGGGCUUCAGCCUUCUGCACAGACAAAUCACAUUAAGUAGGUACUUGUGU
rnacentral:lncRNA from 1 species